AAUAUAAAUAGAGGUGCGAUUUUUGAAGAUUAGAGUGGGGAGCCGGUAGGCAAUGAACCACUUGAAAGGCAUAAGUCGCCGAAUAAAUAAUUAAGACAUUAAUUAUUUAUGGGGUUAUUGAGAAUACCAAUAACACUCCUACGAGAGUAGAGGAGCUAUUAUAAUC
rnacentral:ncRNA from 1 species